GAGGGAAAGCAGGGGAUCGCAAGACCUUGCGCUUUUGGAGCGGCCGAUGUCUGAUUAGCUAGUUGGUGAGGUAAAGGCUUACCAAGGCGUCGAUCAGUAGCUGGUCUGAGAGGACGACCAGCCACACUGGGACUGAGACACGGCCCAGACUCCUACGGGAGGCAGCAGUGGGGAAUUUUGGACAAUGGGGGAAACCCUGAUCCAGCCAUGCCGCGUGAGUGAAGAAGGCCUUCGGGUUGUAAAGCUCUUUCAGCCGGAACGAAACGGUCACGGCUAAUACCUGUGACCACUGACGGUACCGGAAGAAGAAGCACCGGCUAACUACGUGCCAGCAGCCGCGGUAAUACGUAGGGUGCAAGCGUUAAUCGGAAUUACUGGGCGUAAAGCGUG
rnacentral:rRNA from 1 species